UACGGAGGGAGCUAGCGUUGUUCGGAAUUACUGGGCGUAAAGCGCACGUAGGCGGCUAUUCAAGUCGGGGGUGAAAGCCCGGGGCUCAACCCCGGAACUGCCCUCGAAACUAGGUAGCUAGAAUCUUGGAGAGGCGAGUGGAAUUCCGAGUGUAGAGGUGAAAUUCGUAGAUAUUCGGAAGAACACCAGUGGCGAAGGCGGCUCACUGGACCGUUGUUGACGCUGAGGUGCGAAAGCGUGGGGAGCAAACAGG
rnacentral:rRNA from 1 species